rnacentral:rRNA from 1 species
CACGUAGGGGCCAAGCGUUGUCCGGAUUUAUUGGGCGUAAAGAGCUCGUAGGCGGUUUGUUGCGUCGGCUGUGAAAUCCCGAGGCUCAACCUCGGGUCUGCAGUCGAUACGAGCAAACUAGAGUGUUGCAGGGGAGACUGGAAUUCCUGGUGUAGCGGUGGAAUGCGCAGAUAUCAGGAGGAACACCGGUGGCGAAGGCGGUUCUCUGGGCAUUACCUGACGCUGAGGAGCGAAAGCAUGGGGGAGCGAACAGG